rnacentral:rRNA from 1 species
UUUUCGACCUGAACUCAGUCGUGGAU